AACGAACGCUGGCGGCAGGCUUAACACAUGCAAGUCGAGCGCCCCGCAAGGGGAGCGGCAGACGGGUGAGUAACGCGUGGGAAUCUACCCAUCUCUACGGAAUAACUCAGGGAAACCUGUGCUAAUACCGUAUACGCCCUUCGGGGGAAAGAUUUAUCGGAGAUGGAUGAGCCCGCGUUGGAUUAGCUAGUUGGUGAGGUAAAGGCUCACAAAGGCGACGAUCCAUAGCUGGUCUGAGAGGAUGAUCAGCCACACUGGGACUGAGACACGGCCCAGACUCCUACGGGAGGCAGCAGUGGGGAAUAUUGGACAAUGGGCGCAAGCCUGAUCCAGCCAUGCCGCGUGAGUGAUGAAGGCCCUAGGGUUGUAAAGCUCUUUCACCGAUGAAGAUAAAGACGGUAGUCGGAGAAGAAGCCCCGGCUAACUUCGUGCCAGCAGCCGCGGUAAGAC
rnacentral:rRNA from 1 species